rnacentral:rRNA from 1 species
AUUGAACGCUGGCAGCAUGCCUUACACAUGCAAGUCGAACGGCAGCACGGGAGCAAUCCUGGUGGCGAGUGGCGAACGGGUGAGUAAAGUAUCGGAACGUGCCCAGUCGUGGGGGAUAACGUAGCGAAAGUUACGCUAAUACCGCAUACGAUCUAUGGAUGAAAGCGGGGGAUCGCAAGACCUCACGCGAUUGGAGCGGCCGAUAUCAGAUUAGGUAGUUGGUGGGGUAAAGGCUCACCAAGCCGACGAUCUGUAGCUGGUCUGAGAGGACGACCAGCCACACUGGGACUGAGACACGGCCCAGACUCCUACGGGAGGCAGCAGUGGGGAAUUUUGGACAAUGGGCGCAAGCCUGAUCCAGCCAUGCCGCGUGCAGGAUGAAGGCCUUCGGGUUGUAAACUGCUUUUGUACGGAACGAAAAGGUUUGACUUAAUACGUUGGACUCAUGACGGUACCGUAAGAAUAAGCACCGGCUAACUACGUGCCAGCCGCCGCUGUAA